GUCUUUCCCUCCUAAGGACUGACACUGCACAGCCUAAAACAUGGGAUUUGGACUAAAAGGGAUUUUCAUUUUGACUAUUUUGCAAGGUGUCCAUUGUGAUAUUCAGCUGGUGGAGUCUGGGGGGGAUGUGAGACCACCUGGAGGAUCAUUGAAACUCUCCUGCAAAGCUUCUGGAUUUGACUUCAGCAGCUAUUUCAUGAAUUGGGUUCGCCAGGCUCCAGGGAAGGGGCUGGAGUGGGUCGCAUACAUUAGUAGUAGUGGAGGUAGCACAAGCUAUGCAGACUCUGUGAAAGGGCGAUUCACCAUCUCCAGGGACAAUGGCAACAGCCUGCUGCACCUGCAGAUGAAUUCCCUGAAAGCUGAGGACACAGCCAUGUAUUACUGUGCAAGAGGCACAGGGGGCCUGUGGAGGGUCUGGGGGCUGGAUGUUUGGGCCUGUUUGGUGCCUACUUGA